rnacentral:rRNA from 1 species
GUAGGUCGGAGGAACUAGCAUGCGAGUCAUUGUAGCAAUACAAGGCAGACGGCUCAGUAACGCGUAGUCAAUCUACCCUAUGGACGGGAAUAACCUCGGGAAACUGAGAAUAAUGCCCGAUAGAACAUUAUACCUGGAACGGUUUAUGUUUCAAAUGAUUUAUCGCCGUAGGAUGGGACUGCGGCCUAUCAGUUUGUUGGUGAGGUAAUGGCCCACCAAGACUAUUACAGGUACGGGCUCUGAGAGGAGUAGCCCGGAGAUGGGUACUGAGACACGGACCCAGGCCCUAUGGGGCGCAGCAGGCGAGAAAACUUUGCAAUGUGCGAAAGCACGACAAGGUUAAUCCGAGUGGUUUCUGCUAAAGAAACCUUUUGCUAGUCCUAGAAACACUAGUGAAUAAGGGGUGGGCAAGUUCUGGUGUCAGCCGCCGCGGUAAAACCAGCACCUCAAGUGGUCAGGAUGAUUAUUGGGCCUAAAGCAUCCGUAGCUCGUUUUGUAAGUUUUCGGUUAAAUCCAUACGCUCAACGUAUGGGCUGCCGGGAAUACUGCAUAACUAGGAAGUGGGAGAGGUAGACGGUACUCGGUAGGAAGGGGUAAAAUCCUUUGAUCUAUUGAUGACCACCUGUGGCGAAGGCGGUCUACCAGAACACGUUCGACGGUGAGGGAUGAAAGCUGGGGGAGCAAACCGGAUUAGAUACCCGGGUAGUCCCAGCUGUAAACUAUGCAAACUCAGUGAUGCAUUGGCUUGUGGCCAAUGCAGUGCUGCAGGGAAGCCGUUAAGUUUGCCGCCUGGGAAGUACGUACGCAAGUAUGAAACUUAAAGGAAUUGGCGGGGGAGCACCACAAGGGGUGAAGCCUGCGGUUCAAUUGGAGUCAACGCCGGG